AUGCAUCUAGUCCAGAAUCAGAAUCAGGGGAACAACAACAAUAACAACAACCCACCACCACCACCACCUGUUGAUCACUUAGCCCGAUUUCUAAGGAUGAAUCCGCCGGUGUUCUCUAGUAGCACCGAGCCGAUAGUUGCAGAUGAUUGGCUCCGCAAGAUUGGAAGGGAGUUGACCACUGUAGGAUGCACAGAUGCGGAAAGAGUGCAUUUUGCCUCACAUCAGCUUGAUGGACCCGCAACAACAUGGUGGGAGAAUUACACUGUCACCUAUCCCAUCGACACUGUUACGUGGGACAAGUUUCAGCAGGCCUUUCGCACAACCCAUGUAUCAGCAGGAGCUAUGGCCAUGAAGAAGCGUGAGUUUCGCAACUUACGCCAAGGAGGACGCACCAUCGGCUAG
rnacentral:rRNA from 1 species